UUUUUGUUUGCAUAAGGGAUAGUAAAGGAAAUCCUUUAUUGUCUCGUUUUUUAACGAGACAAUAAAGAUUGUAAUGGAUAGCCCGACCACGC
rfam:Flavobacterium fryxellicola strain DSM 16209 FBFR10, whole genome shotgun sequence.